GGAUAGCUCAAUCAGUAGAGCAUGAGAUUCUUAAUCUCAGGGUUGUGAGUUCAAGCCCCAUGUAGGCCA